rnacentral:rRNA from 1 species
GACAGAGGUGCCGAGCGUUAGGCGGAAUCACUGGGCUUAAAGCGUGUGUAGGCGGCCCGUUAAGUACCUUGUGAAAUCCCCCGGCUCAACCGGGGAACGGCUGGGUAUACUGGCGGGCUUGGGUCACCCAGGGGCAGACGGAACAAGCGGUGGAGCGGUGAAAUGCGUAGAGAUCGGGAGGAACACCGGUGGCGAAGGCGGGUCUCUGGGCAAUUCCUGACGCUGAGGCGCGAAAGCGUGGGGAGCAAACGGG